rnacentral:rRNA from 1 species
GCUGGCGGCAGGCCUAACACAUGCAAGUCGAACGGCAGCACAGUAAGAGCUUGCUCUUAUGGGUGGCGAGUGGCGGACGGGUGAGGAAUACAUCGGAAUCUACUCUUUCGUGGGGGAUAACGUAGGGAAACUUACGCUAAUACCGCAUACGACCUACGGGUGAAAGCGGAGGACCUUCGGGCUUCGCGCGAUUGAAUGAGCCGAUGUCGGAUUAGCUAGUUGGCGGGGUAAAGGCCCACCAAGGCGACGAUCCGUAGCUGGUCUGAGAGGAUGAUCAGCCACACUGGAACUGAGACACGGUCCAGACUCCUACGGGAGGCAGCAGUGGGGAAUAUUGGACAAUGGGCGCAAGCCUGAUCCAGCCAUGCCGCGUGGGUGAAGAAGGCCUUCGGGUUGUAAAGCCCUUUUGUUGGGAAAGAAAAGCAGUCGGUUAAUACCCGGUUGUUCUGACGGUACCCAAAGAAUAAGCACCGGCUAACUUCGUGCCAGCAGCCGCGGUAAUACGAAGGGUGCAAGCGUUACUCGGAAUUACUGGGCGUAAAGCGUGCGUAGGUGGUGGUUUAAGUCUGUUGUGAAAGCCCUGGGCUCAACCUGGGAAUUGCAGUGGAUACUGGAUCACUAGAGUGUGGUAGAGGGUAGCGGAAUUCCCGGUGUAGCAGUGAAAUGCGUAGAGAUCGGGAGGAACAUCCGUGGCGAAAGCGGCUACCUGGACCAACACUGACACUGAGCACGAAAGCGUGGGNAGCAAACAGGAUUAGAUACCCUGGUAGUCACGCCCUAAACGAUGCGAACUGGAUGUUGGGUGCAAUUUGGCACGCAGUAUCGAAGCUAACGCGUUAAGUUCGCCGCCUGGGGAGUACGGUCGCAAGACUGAAACUCAAAGGAAUUGACGGGGGCCCGCACAAGCGGUGGAGUAUGUGGUUUAAUUCGAUGCAACGCGAAGAACCUUACCUGGUCUUGACAUCCACGGAACUUUCCAGAGAUGGAUUGGUGCCUUCGGGAACCGUGAGACAGGUGCUGCAUGGCUGUCGUCAGCUCGAGUCGUGAGAUGUUGGGUUAAGUCCCGCAACGAGCGCAACCCUUGUCCUUAGUUGCCAGCACGUUAUGGUGGGAACUCUAAGGAGACCGCCGGUGACAAACCGGAGGAAGGUGGGGAUGACGUCAAGUCAUCAUGGCCCUUACGACCAGGGCUACACACGUACUACAAUGGUAGGGACAGAGGGCUGCAAACCCGCGAGGGCAAGCCAAUCCCAGAAACCCUAUCUCAGUCCGGAUUGGAGUCUGCAACUCGACUCCAUGAAGUCGGAAUCGCUAGUAAUCGCAGAUCAGCAUUGCUGCGGUGAGUACGUUCCCGGGCCUUGUACACACCGCCCGUCACACCAUGGGAGUUUGUUGCACCAGAAGCAGGUAGCUUAACCUUCGGGAGGGCGCUUGCCACGGUGUGGCCGAUGACUGGGGUGAAGUCGUAACAAGGUAACC